GUUAGCGUUGCUUCAUUGUUAAAAAAUGAGUUCGUCAUUGUUAAUGGGGUUGCCUGUUUGCGUAACGCUAUUUUGACCUAAUGUUUUAUGGGAUUUUUUUUAGUAAUAACAACAUUGAUAAAAACGAUGUCAUUUGAUACAUUCUGUCAAGUUUGACAUCGAUGUUUAUUGUUUUGUACGAAAGGAUAAUUUUAAAAAGUGUUUAAUUUUAAUAUAAAUAAUGGGAACCUUUUCGCCAAAAGAACGUUCGGUAAAUUUUGGAAAAGAAGAGAAGGACAGAUUUAGAAAUUUAAUAGAAAAACAUAAACA